GCAAGUCCAAAUUCUUCAGUUUACUGAAAACUUCCUCUGCUUUCUUCACAUUGUUCUGACCAACACAGUUCAACAAUAAAGUUCGAUACAUCAUCUCUCUGCUACAAGAUUCUGGAAUAGUCUCAAGCAAAGCUGAGACAGGUUGUGGACGUCGAUGAGGUGUUUCAGCAAACUCAUAUACGAAAGAAAUAUGACUAGUUUGUUGAUGAGAGGUCUCAAAGGACACAUGAAGAAUUUUCCAAUAGACUCUCACAUGUCAGAUCAGAGCAAAGAUCAUGGCCUCUUGAUGAUGCAUCACAAGCAAAUAUCGAUGACGAUGACAUCAUUAGGGCACAAUGUUGAGUGGAUGUCAUCGGUGAAAAAAAUAAAGGAUGAGUAUAUGAGGUAGGAAAACUUGCUGCCCAUUACACUGUUGGAAGAAGUACAUUGAAACACCAACCAUCUACAUCCAAUAGUGUUGAUCAAGGUUAUGAUGAGUUGAGACAACAAUUACAAGGUUGUGGUGACCAAGCUUAUGAUGAUCUUAAACAACGAUUUGAGAGUCUCCAAAAUUUGGUCACGAGGUUCUUGCCUCCAAACACACAACCUAUGGUCCAAUAGCCUCUGUCCAUCCUAACAUCGUCCCAACAACGACGCUCCCCAUACAACCCACCCAAGUCUAGCUACCUCCCCAAUAGUAACAGGAUGAAGAAGAAAAAGGAAAUAAUUCUAAUAACUAUGAUGAUUAUUAAAUACUUUGUUAGUUUAUUUACAUAUUUAGUUUAAAAACACUUUUAUGUUUGUGUUAUGGACAUUAUAUUAUGUUUUUAAUGAUAUGGACUU